AUUCCUAGAACACACGGCGCGACAACUCUUCGCGCGCGCCUCAGGGGCGGGACCUCACCGAGGGAGUGGAGCAGCAAGCUGAGGGAGGAGAAGAGCGGUGGUGGGCGGAGUCCUGCCACCUGCUCUCGCCACCCUUAAACUCUCCGGGUCUCGAGCUGCGCUGAAAACAGGAAAACGUGACGGCGUGUUUUGCUCGGGAAAGUUCUGAGCCUUCGCUUUUACGUCCCGCCUCUGGCCCAGGGCUAACUUUCCCCACCUGUCCGGGAGGUCAAGGUGACUACCAGUCUUACAAGUGGAGACUCAUAAACUUCCAGGGCUGGCGGGUUGCUCACGAACGCAGGACCCGCUCUGUGUCAAGUCCCUAGCUGAUCAGUUGCUGGAGUCGCCCUCCUGCAGCCCCAAUAAUGAAUUGAGGCUCUUCUGUUUAAUGUGAGGCGGAAUACGCUUCCUCUCGCGGGGACUGAACUCGAGCAGCAGAAUCAGCCCAAAAGACAAGUUGAACUGUCAUAUGUGCUAUGAAUAACCUUAAUGUCAACAACAACUUGUGAGCUCUUCUUCUCCAUCCCCAUGGCCAGCACUGCAGCGCAGGCCUUCAUAUCUCUCUAGGAGUAUCACUGUGGCGCUGACUUCAAAUCUCAUCAGGUCUGGAUUAUCUGAUCAUAUUACUCCGAGACUUGACAGCUUUUCAUGGCUCCCUGUUACUUACAGGAUAAAGUCCAAAGUCCUCAGCAAAGCCCUGAAGGCCUUUAAUAAUCUGGUGGUAUCUUCUUUCCAGCCUCCUCACCUUCUUCCUGCCUCCCGCCCCCCAUGCACCCGAUUCCUUAAGCCAGGAGCAAAAGGAGUUGAUAGCCUAUUUAAGGAGAGAAGAUAGAAAGCAUAGGCAUCCUCCCAGAAGAGAGUAAAGGCUCAAGGGUAGAGAUGCCCAGUCCUAGACCCUGGUCUUUUCCACAUGGAAGAACAUCUGAGGACCAAGUGUAGAGACAAUGAGGACAUAUCUUAGCCAAGAGAUCAAAUGAUAUCUAGUAGAAAAAUCCCAGUGGGUCUACUCCGGUCUUUGACUGUCUUCACUAAUCCAAACAGAUAAAGAGGAUGCUUUGAAGGCAGGCUGAGACACCUUGAAGAACUUGUGGCCCCAGCACACUGAUGGAGAAGUUAUAGAAGGUAGACAAGGGAAAGGAGAAACAUGGGGCCCCAUAUUUAUAGGUCAUCAUAGCUAGACCCAAAGAGAAAAUUGACUGAUAUAUCUUUUUUAGAUAUGAAAGGUGUUGGAAGGGGAGAAAAGGACAAUUUACUGGAAUCUAAUUAUUUUCCCCAGUUUAUCUGUCACUUUAGACACAUCCCUUGCCUUUAUCUCAUUUUUAUUACCUUCAUGACUCUUCUAACAGAAACAUGCCACAGCGAAACAGCAAUAAAGUAUCAUCUUUGCUGAUCUUCCUUGAAGGCAGUGGGGCAUGACGUCAAUGGAGUGACAACAACAAUCAAGGAGCAAGUACACAAGAAGGAGGCCAGAAUGUGAUUAAGUGCUGGCAAGUGAUGGAGUGUGUACGGAUUCAGAUAUGGACUGUGUGGUUCAGGAAGUUCUUCUCGAGAAGGUGACAUUUGAGUGGGAUGUGAAAGGCAAGAAGGAGUCAGCCAUGACAAAAUCAGGGGGAAGAGCAUUUCAGAUACAGAGACCAGCUGGUACAAAGGCCCUAAGUGGGAAUAAGCCUGGAAGAAGACCAAGACCAGGAUCUUGAAGCAGAAUGCAUUUCUAAGGGUCAACUCCCAAGGUCAAGAGUAAUCUGAGGAGUCUGUCUGCUCCCUGUGGUUGUUUGUGAGGAAGUCAGAGAGAGACACAGACCAAACCUCUUAUUAUGGAGAAGAGGGUGUGUGUGUUUUUCCUUUACCCUGAAAAACAGACAACAGAAGAAGUGUAUUUAUCUGAAUCUCUCCCUGCAGAGGAUGUGCCACCCACCCGUCCCCUCUCCCAAGGGCCAUGGACCUGGGAGUCACUUCCCUGACUCCACACGACUCCCUUCUCAGGCUUCAGAUUGUUCCUCUGGGCCUCCAUUCCUCCUGCUCCUUUGGUGGUCCAGUCUCCUCAUUUUCACCAGAUUUCAUGCUGGACAGCAUGCUGGAGUGAAGGAGGGAGUGACUCUGGCAACCUGAAGAGAUACUUUGCAUCCCUGGCAGCUGCUGCCCUGGCUCCCCAGGCCCGGAGCAAUGGGCAGGUUGUGCCUGGUCCUAGCCAGAGUUCUAUGAACCACCUACCACAAGGUUGUGGGCAGAGCCCCUGUGACAAUGUGGAUGAUUCAGAGCAGGGAGCCAACUUCUUCUGACUCUUCCUUUAGUUCUGGUUGCCAUGGCACUGCACUGAAGGCCAACAUACAAGAGCGGCUCAUGCUGAGUGAGGACAUACCAUAGGCUUGACUCUGCGCUAAGGUCUCUAUAGGCCCGUCUCAUGAGACCCUCACAAUUUUCCUUCAGAGAAGGGAUCUUGAUCUCCAUUUUUAUAGAGGAGACUGAGGGAUUGAGUAACCUGCCUGCCUAAAGUAAUAGAGAUAGGAUUCUAACCCAGGAGUCAAGCUCCAAAACCUCAAGGGGCUUAAUCAUGAUGCGCCUGCCAUAGCCUUAACCUUCAUUUUUCCUUCACCAGCAUUGCAAUUUCAAGUCACAAAGCACAGAGCCUCCGUGCACCAGUUCAAGAGAUACUCUGCAGAGAUGCCACCUAGCUUCUCCCCAGGCCCUGCCUAGCCAAAAAGGACCCGUGAUACCUGUGAACAGAAGCAGAAAGGCUGUUGGUCAGGAGUGCAGGGGAAAGGGGUGCUGGACCAAGUUGGAGCCUGGAAAAAAAUGAGAAAGCUUGCUGACCCCUGUUCUACAGGAAUUUACAGUCGAUAGCGAAAUGUCUCUCUCACACAUAUACAGAGCCACAUGCUCUCCCCACACAAGAGCCUGAAGCGCAUGCAUGCUACUUCAUCUGCCCACAGAGUCCUCUUUUCCUUCUUCGUCUGGCCAACUGCUACUCAUCCUUCAAACUCAGUUGAGAUGCCACCUCCUUCACUCAACCUUUACUUGGCAAAAGUCCUCUCCUCCUUUGAGAUCAUUGAUAGCACCAGGAUACAUGGAGAAAGAGACUGAGUCCUUGCCCUCAGGUUGCUCUAGGAUAGAAGUGGAAGAACAAACUGGCAGUAGGAUUCAAUGUGAUGGAGAUGUGUGAAGCUUCACUGGCUGAAGACUUUGGAACUCCAAAGCUGGUUACUUUUAAAAAUAUUUAAGUAGGUAUUUUGAACCACUCUGUUCAGGUCACGCUUCCGUGCUUGGUUCAGCCUUCCUCCCAGAAGAUGUGGGUGCUUUGUGAUAAAGACUGGGGCUGGGGAGUGGGAGAAAUCCUCUGCUGAGAACAGUGACAGGUACAGAAAGCAGGUCGGUCCCCUAUCCAAGCUCAGCGAUUCCCUUCAAAGGGAAAGAUGUAGGGUGAAGUGGUGAGGAAUGGGUGUCAAUGUGGGCAGGAGAGGGAAAAGCCAGUAUAUCCACUCAUGUUUUUCAUCAUAUUCACCAGCAUUUGGCAAGUCCUGAUGGAAUCAAUCAAUUAUUUGCCACACCUUGUUUACAAUCAGGUCCCGAAGUUUACAGUGGUGAAUGAGACAGACAUGGUUCCUGAUCUCCUGAAGCAGUGAGGAAGAUCAGGAAACAGAUGAAAGAUUUCUAAAAAUCAUUAAAAUUUAUGAAGAGAAUCACCAAGUUCAGCCCCCCCGACACACAAGAAGAGAUUUAGUCUUCACCUCUUGAAGAAGAGAAUAUCACAGAACUUGUGGACGUAUUUCAAACCCACCAUAAGAGCGCUACCCAUACCUCCCCGGGUGUUUUCUGUUAUAUACAAGCUUUGGAGCAGUCUAAUGUCUGCUUUAGUCUUUUAUGUACUGAGGAAUUCAGUAAAGAAUCCUAAAUAAUUAUGAAUUGCUUUUGACACCAAGAGUUUUGGAUGAGGGUUUAUGUUUCUAUAGUAUAAUGAUAAGCUUGCAGUAUAGUUUUUUUUUUUCAGUUUAAAUAAGCUAAAGAAAUCCAGAGUGUUUUGAAAUAUUUUCAAGCUGGAAGGAACCUCAUGGAUUAUCCAGUAACCAGAGUUUAGUCUCAUUGCCCUUACUCUACAGAUGAGUAACUUGAGACUCAGAGAGGGAAAAAAAAGUGUUUGCUAAGAACAUACAUACUAUGUUUCAGACACUGCUAAGUGCUAUAGAUAUAUCAUUUUAUUAAAUUCUCCCAGCUUUCUUGAUGAGGAAAAUAAGGAUCAGAGAGGCAAGUAGCAUAUCCCUAGAUUAGACAUCUAGUGUGUUUUGGAGACAGGGCUAAAACCCGUAUCUCCCAAAUGCCAGCCAGAGCCCUGCACAUGUAACACCCUCUCUCAUGAUCCCAUGGGAUGUGACAGCAGGCUGGUAAGGCCUAGGUACCAUAUCCCUGGAGGAUCAAGAUGAAGGGUUUUCUCUCCAAACAUCCAGGGUUCUCUUUAGUCUCUACAUCUCACCUGACUUCUGCUUCCCGAGCUAAUGUCCAACCUGAGAGUCUCCUCUGGAAACCAGACAAGAACCACAGAAGUUAUAGAAGAAGUGACCCCAUGCCUGUUGCCUCACCCUCAAACUGGGUUUCUGAACUUCAAGCUCGGUAGGUGCUGCUGAGCUGUGAGGGUGUAGGUUCCCACCUUGGAAUAGCUUCUAAGGGUACCUCAGAUACAUGUCAUGUUCUCACUCUCAUCCAGGAGGUGUUCAAGGACAGGGCCUCAUCCCCAGGGGACCAUGGCUGGAGAUGGCUUUCCCAAGUGCUGUCAGCUUUAAAUUCUAUGAAGGAUAUGCCAAUCAUUAGGAAUCUAAGUUAAAAAGUCAUAAUAACAGUAGUUGUAGUGAUAAAUCAGGAUUCUUUUAGUGAUACAUGUUAGAAAAUCCAAUCCAAAUGACAUAAUCUAAAGGAAUAUUAAUUGAAAAGUCCAGACAUAGAUUUGAUUUCAGGUGUGGCAUGAUGAAGACAACCAAAUGUUCCAGAAGCACUCGGUUUCUCUUUCAUCCCUUAACUCUGCUUACUAUGUUGAUUCCAUUCUCAGACUAUCUGAUCUGGUCCCUGAACUAAUCACUAUCACCAGAAGAAUGUAAUAUUCUCAUUGGCCAGGCCUGGGUCACAUGAUACUCCUGGAUCAGGGGAGGGGAAGAGUACAGACUACCAAGAAAAAAAAAAAAAACAAAAGAACCCCAACACUUCAUUUUACUGGACGUAGAAUGAAGAGAUGUUGCUAAUAAAUUUGACAAACAUUUGAGCUCUUAUUAUGUGUCGGGUUCUAUGCUAAGCAAUCUACAUGCACAAUCUUAUUUAAUCUAUUAACAACUCUAUGACAUAUAUAUCAACAUUACCCCGUAUAGUUUUACAAUUUUUAUUUAGUUUUAUUGAAAUACAGUAGAUUUACAAUGUUGUGUUAAUUUCUGCUGUACAGCAAAGUGAUUCAGUUAUAUAUAUAAUUUUUUUUCAUAUUCUUUUCCAUUAUGGUUUAUCAUAGAAUAUUGAAUAUAGUUCCCUGUGCUGUAGAGUAGGACCUAGUGGUUUAUUGCAUCUGCUAAUCCCAAACCCCCACUCCAUCCCUCUCCCACCCCUCCCCCACUUGGCAGUCACAAGUCUGUUCUCUAUGUCUGUAUGCUACUCUUUCAAUAAAAGUUCA